CAGUUAAUACUCUCGGAUAAUGUAUUUAAGGAUGCUUAAGAAAUUGCAACAGCCAGUUCAACCUUCAGCAACCACCAAACGGUAGUCAUCAACAUAGAGACAAGACUGUACACCAGCAAAAAGAUCCCAACUCAAUGAAGGCUCAAAUGAUUUUAGCAUUUUUUUAGCAAUAAAACAUUUUAAAUUAAACUAUAUACAUUGUUGUUUUAGACAAUGUUUUUGCACAUUCAGAAUACAGUAAAGUGUAAACAUAACUUUUAUAUACACUGGGGAAACCAGAAAAUUUGUGUGACUUUAUUGCAAUAUUUGUUUUAUUGUGCUGAUCUGGAACUAAAUAUAUCUGAGAUAUGCUUGUACUGAUAAUUAUUUUAACACCAAGAUAUUUAAAAAUUCAUUAAAUAAAUUUUUAUUUAAAUAGA